AGUAACGCGUGGGUAACCUGCCCUUAAGUCUGGGAUACCAUUUGGAAACAGAUGCUAAUACUGGAUAAAAGCUACUUUCGCAUGAAAGAAGUUUAAAAGGCGGCGUAAUCUGUCGCUAAAGGAUGGACCUGCGAUGCAUUAGCUAGUUGGUAAGGUAACGGCUUACCAAGGCGAUGAUGCAUAGCCGAGUUGAGAGACUGAUCGGCCACAUUGGGACUGAGACACGGCCCAAACUCCUACGGGAGGCAGCAGCC
rnacentral:rRNA from 1 species